GGAGAGGUGGCUGAGCGGUCGAAAGCGGCGGAUUGCUAAUCCGUUGUACAGUUAAGGCUGUACCGAGGGUUCGAAUCCCUCCCUCUCCG
rnacentral:tRNA from 2 species